rnacentral:lncRNA from 1 species
CAGGAAGAAAGGAAGGGCUGUCCCAGCUUCUUUCACCAGGUGUGACUUCCUAGUCUGGGACAUUUGGAAGGCUACUGUGCUCUGGACUUCCCCAUCUACUGAGUCACCUCACAGGCAUCAUCACUCCCUGUUUUAUUAGCUUCCAAAUAAGGCAAAACCUGGCCAGCAUCUCUUCCAAAUAGUCCUUGACUGGCCCCCUGGUAGUACCCAAAGGACUAUCUACUGAAUUCACUGCCCUUGCCUCCCGGCUCCUGACUCAGCUUCCCACAGAUAAGCACUUCAUGUGCAUACAGUUCCCCUGGUGAGAAAUGUGCCAGUGUGCAUACUCAACUGUGCCACAUGGGCCCUCCACUGAUGGAAAGACUGGGCCCCUAUGCCACACAGCUCCAAGGCUACAACUCCAUUCAUGAACACUUGUACAUCCAUCUCCAAGGACACAGACUGACCCAGAGACACACAGAGAGCUGCGUGAGAAUGCAAUGCCUGCCCCUGCACAGCAGUGUCUUGGUACAUCAGCUCAAGUUCAUGUGCACACAGGUCUAUCCCAGGCUGGGCUCAGCUCUGGGCUAUUUUGGGCCUGGCCUAGGGCCAACAAGUUCAGGGACAGCCAGCUCCCACAACGCCCCAGCUGCUGUGUCACUGGCCCAGGCUAGCUAACUCCCACCCCAACCCCAGGCUAAGUCCAUGGUGGCCAGGAUCCCAGCCUGGCUCUGUGACUGGGUGGGUGGAGGGUUCUCCAUUCACUUCCCCUCAGCUUCUCCAAAGCUAAGCCUGAGUUCCAUUGUAUCAGACUCCCAGAGAGAAAUAGCCACAGGGUCUCCCAGCGACCCUGUCCAUAACCUCCAACCCAGAGGCCCUGGAGGCUGGAUUGGGUCCCCACAGGAAACCCAUAAGAUAUAAAAAUAGUGCAGGAGGGACAAGUAGUUGUCUGCCUGCUAGCACUUAUGGCACCACACAGGAAGAGGAUGCUGUCUUUCAGGGAGCCAGAACUCCCCCACCCCAGCCUUGAUGGGCCCAGCUGAGGGGUGGGUACAGAACAUGUUGGGGAGCCUGUAAGAAGCUUCAGCAAUACCAGAGAGUGGAGAGAGCCCUGAAUCAGAGGCAGAAGACGGAGUUGGGCGUUGCAAUUUCUGAGGCCUAAGGACAAACGCAGCUCCUCCCUGCAGCUCCUCCCUGGGAGUCCUUCCUCACAAGGGAACAGGGUAGAUCUGGCAAGAUGGCUUAGCUGGAACAGGUUGGUCCACAACUCAGCAGGUUGGCCUCAGACUUGAAGCAAUCCUCCUGCCCCUGGCUCCUGAGUGCUGGGGUUACAGUCAUGUGGUACUUCAGUCAUCAGAUGGUAUUUCUGUGCCAGUGAUUGAACACAGUGCUUUGUGUAUGCCAGGCAAGCACUCUGCCCCUGAGCUACAAUUCUGGCUUGCCCUACUUCUUGGUGGACAAACAAGAC